GUGGGGAAUAUUGGACAAUGGGCGCAAGCCUGAUCCAGCAAUGCCGCGUGAGUGAUGAAGGCCUUAGGGUUGUAAAGCUCUUUCACCGGGGAAGAUAAUGACGGUACCCGGAGAAGAAGCCCCGGCUAACUCCGUGCCAGCAGCCGCGGUAAUACGGAGGGGGCUAGCGUUGUUCGGAAUUACUGGGCGUAAAGCGCACGUAGGCGGACUGGAAAGUCAGGGGUGAAAUCCCGGGGCUCAACCCCGGAACUGCCUUUGAAACUCCCAGUCUUGAGUUCGAGAGAGGUGAGUGGAAUUCCGAGUGUAGAGGUGAAAUUCGUAGAUAUUCGGAGGAACACCAGUGGCGAAGGCGGCUCACUGGCUCGAUACUGACGCUGAGGUGCGAAAGCGUGGGGAGCAAACAGGAUUAGAAACCCCGGUAGUCC
rnacentral:rRNA from 1 species